CUUACAGAGGAUUACCUCCAUAAGAACGGCGAGUGGGACAAUCAGUUGGGUGGUGUUUUGAGUCGCCAGUGUCCUUCUGGCCAAGUUGUUUCUGGCAUCACAAGCAUCUACAAUGACGGCAAUAGUGAUCGACUUUGGGGGAUUUCGUGCAAGGCUCUCAAGGAAACCGGGACAUGCCGGUUAACCAGUAAUGCAAAUGGAUAUUGUGCAGACUUCAACUUCAAAUGUGGAGAAAACGAGGUGAUUGCAGGGGCCUACAGUCAUUACCACAGCUACUACCGGGACAGAGAGUGGAGGUUUUACUGCUGCCGUGUCCCUGGUUUUGUCUUGUUCAACUGUAAAGAGGUUCCAAAGAUCAACUACUGGAAGGAGAACUUCAGCUGGGCAGUCCCCAGCAGCAACUUCCUGACAGGAGUGAAAAGCGACUUUGAUAACCCAGCACGCGAUCGUCGCUGGAGUUUCACGUACUGCCAGAUAAAACGUCAGUGAAGCUACAUAGAAUGAGAAGUUUCCUGACAGGAUUCACUGAUGUGCCAGUAUAAUGUGCCAAUUUGAUUAAUGUAUAUGGCAGUGGCAGUUGUCAGUUUGAAAUAAAGACUUGCAAGAGA